CGGUCAAAAUUUGUGGACAAAUAAAGUGCACGUGCGUGUCUAAACCACCCGCGGUGACAAUCAAACCUUCGGCGGAGAUGACCUCCGUGUUCACGCCGACAACCAUCCCCGGGGUUACGUUUUCCAUGACGUCCGGGUUACCGGCUUUGCCAAUGCCAACAAUCAUACCGCCGUUGAUACCAAUAUCGCAUUUAAAUAUUCCAGUGUAAUCGACGACGAGCGCGUUCGUGACGACGCAAUCUAAAGUAUCAUUCGCGCCUAAACCGGCGUUUUGCCCCAUGCCUUCUCG
rnacentral:sRNA from 1 species